rnacentral:rRNA from 1 species
GGCGAACGGCUGAGUAACACGUGGGCAACCUGCCCUUUGCACUGGGAUAGCCUCGGGAAACCGAGGUUAAUACCGGAUACUCCAUAUUUGUCGCAUGGCGAAUAUGGGAAAGCUCCGGCGGCAAAGGAUGGGCCCGCGGCCUGUUAGCUAGUUGGUGGGGUAGUGGCCUACCAAGGCAAUGAUGGGUAGCCGGGUUGAGAGACCGACCGGCCAGAUUGGGACUGAGACACGGCCCAGACUCCUACGGGAGGCAGCAGCC